rnacentral:rRNA from 1 species
GCUCAACCGGGGAGGGUCAUUGGAAACUGGGAAACUUGAGUGCAGAAGGGGAGAGUGGAAUUCCACGUGUAGCGGUGAAAUGCGUAGAGAUGUGGAGGAACACCAGUGGCGAAGGCGACUCUCUGGUCUGUAACUGACGCUGAGGAGCGAAAGCGUGGGGAGCGAACAGGAUUAGAUACCCUGGUAGUCCACGCCGUAAACGAUGAGUGCUAAGUGUUAGGGGGUUUCCGCCCCUUAGUGCUGCAGCUAACGCAUUAAGCACUCCGCCUGGGGAGUACGGUCGCAAGACUGAAACUCAAAGGAAUUGACGGGGGCCCGCACAAGCGGUGGAGCAUGUGGUUUAAUUCGAAGCAACGCGAAGAACCUUACCAGGUCUUGACAUCCUCUGACAACGCUAGAGAUAGGGCUUUCCCUUCGGGGACAGAGUGACAGGUGGUGCAUGGUUGUCGUCAGCUCGUGUCGUGAGAUGUUGGGUUAAGUCCCGCAACGAGCGCAACCCUUGAUCUUAGUUGCCAGCAUUUAGUUGGGCACUCUAAGGUGACUGCCGGUGACAAACCGGAGGAAGGUGGGGAUGACGUCAAAUCAUCAUGCCCCUUAUGACCUGGGCUACACACGUGCUACAAUGGACAGAACAAAG